rnacentral:rRNA from 1 species
AAUGAACGCUGGCGGCAUGCCUAACACAUGCAAGUCGAACGAAAGCACAGUGAGAGUUUGCUCCUGCGGGUGGCGAGGGGCGGACGGGUGACACAUGCAUAGGAUACCUCUAUUACGUGGGUGAUAACGUAGGAAAACUUCUGCUAAUACAGAAUAUAUCCUACGGGUUAGAGCAGGAGUUCUUCGGGCUUUUCGUGAUUGUAAUAGCCGAUUUCGGGUCGGAUUAGCUAGUUGGUAAGGUAACGGCUUACCAAGGCGACGAUGCGUAGCCGAUCUGAGAGGGUGAUCGGCCACACUGGAACUGAGACACGGUCCAGACUCCUACGGGAGGCAGCAGUAGGGAAUAUUGGACAAUGGGCGAAAGCCUGAUGCAGCAAUACCGCGUGAGUGAUGAAGGCCUUCGGGUCGUAAAGCCCUGUUGUUAGGAAAGAACAACAGUGGGUUUAUCCAUGGAUGUCUUGACGGUACCUAAAGAAUAAGCCCCGGCUAACUUCGUG